rnacentral:rRNA from 1 species
UACGUAGGGGGCAAGCGUUGUCCGGAAUUAUUGGGCGUAAAGAGCGUGUAGGCGGUUCGAUAAGUUUGCUGUAAAAGUCGGGGGCUCAACCCCCGAAAGCCGGUGAAUACUGUCGGACUAGAGUACGGAAGAGGCGAGUGGAAUUCCUGGUGUAGCGGUGAAAUGCGCAGAUAUCAGGAGGAACACCAAUUGCGAAGGCAGCUCGCUGGGACGUAACUGACGCUGAGACGCGAAAGCGUGGGGAGCAAACAGG